rnacentral:rRNA from 1 species
UUCCGUAGGUGAACCGCGGAAGGAUCAUUACCGAGUGAGGGCCCUCUGGGUCCAACCUCCCACCCGUGUCUAUCGUACCUUGUUGCUUCGGCGGGCCCGCCGUUUCGACGGCCGCCGGGGAGGCCUUGCGCCCCCGGGCCCGCGCCCGCCGAAGACCCCAACAUGAACGCUGUUCUGAAAGUAUGCAGUCUGAGUUGAUUAUCGUAAUCAGUUAAAACUUUCAACAACGGAUCUCUUGGUUCCGGCAUCGAUGAAGAACGCAGCGAAAUGCGAUAAGUAAUGUGAAUUGCAGAAUUCAGUGAAUCAUCGAGUCUUUGAACGCACAUUGCGCCCCCUGGUAUUCCGGGGGGCAUGCCUGUCCGAGCGUCAUUGCUGCCCUCAAGCACGGCUUGUGUGUUGGGCCCCCGUCCCCCUCUCCCGGGGGACGGGCCCGAAAGGCAGCGGCGGCACCGCGUCCGGUCCUCGAGCGUAUGGGGCUUUGUCACCUGCUCUGUAGGCCCGGCCGGCGCCAGCCGACACCCAACUUUAUUUUUCUAAGGUUGACCUCGGAUCAGGUAGGGAUACCCGCUGAACUAAGCAUCUUAAACCCCACAC